UACGUAGGGUGCAGGCGUUAAUCGGAAUUACUGGGCGUAAAGCGUGCGCAGGCGGUUCUUAAGUCAGAUGUGAAAUCCCCGGGCUUAACCUGGGAACUGCAUUGGGUGACUGGCGGGCUAGAGUAUGGCAGAGGGGGGUAGAAUUCCACGUGUAGCAGUGGAAAUGACGUAGAGAUGGUGAGGAAUACCGAUGGCGAAGGCAGCCCCCUGGGCCAAUACUGACGCUCAUGCACGAAAGGCGUG
rnacentral:rRNA from 1 species